rnacentral:rRNA from 1 species
UACGGGGGGAGCAAGCGUUAAUCGGAAUUACUGGGCGUAAAGCGUGCGUAGACGGUUAUUUAAGUCAGGUGUGAAAGCCCCGGGCUCAACCUGGGAACUGCAUUUGAGACUGAAUAGCUAGGGUGCGGAAGAGGGAAGCGGAAUUUCCGGUGUAGCGGUGAAAUGCGUAGAUAUCGGAAGGAACACCAGUGGCGAAAGCGGCUUCCUGGUCCAGCACCGACGUCAGGCACGAAAGCGUGGGGAGCAAACAGG